rnacentral:rRNA from 1 species
AUGUGUAUUCCGCACGUUUAUACAACAGAAAAAACACACCAUUUUUUUUUCUUUUUGCGAAACACACCAUUUUGGACGUCUUGGACAGUGAGCUCUCUGUCGACUCCCCCAAAACCAAUACUAAUGCUAAGGAAAUGGUCCAACAAAUCAAGCGGUGGCCUGCUGCGCGAUGGCGAGGUCCGAGGGCGACAGCGUGCCGUUGUGGUCAGCGUCGAGCAUGUCGAACUCCUCCAUGAACUCCGAGAUCUCCUCCUGGCUGAUCUUCCCGAGCUCCUUGAGCUUGUACAGCACGAACUCCGCCGCCCCGACGCGCCGGUCGCCGUCCAGGUCCGCCGCCUCCAGGUCAGUGUUCGUCGUCCGCCGCGUCAGCACCCACCGCGCCAGCGCCCUCUGCCGCCUCUCCGCGUACAGCUCCGCCACGUACAGGAAGAAGAGCGCCACCACCACCGUGCUCACAGUCACCCACACGGCCGCGAACGCGCGCCCGGCCGACGACCUGAAGCUCCGGUCCCCGUACCCGAGCGUCGUCACCGUCGCGCACACGCAGUACAGCGCGUCCACGGGCCGCAUCCCCUCCCCCUUCCAAAGCACCAGCGUCCCCGACGCCACCGACGCCGCCAGCAGCGCCCCGGCCGCGUACAGCUUGUACCACGUCUUGUUCAUCUCCAUGGCGCGCAGCUCCCGCGCCGGGUGCUUUCCGUUGGCGUGCACCGCGCGGAAGACGAGCGACUCCUGCUUCUCGACCAGGUAGUCGGCGGACUUGCUGAGGGAGGUGCCCACGACGGCGACGCCGCCGAAGGCAAACGCGCUGGCCAGCAGCUUGCCGGUGUCGCUGGACGGGACGAGGUAGAAGGCGGUGGUGCCGGCGACGACGUAGGCGAAGAGGAGGAUUCCCACCAGCCGGAAGCUCGAGCUCGGGCGGCCGCUCUCGAGCACUUUCUUGGCCGGCGAGGCCGCGCUUUCGGUCCGACUGGCGUUGCCGGGGGGAGUAAGAGGACGAGGCUCUUCCGACGCAGCAGGGUCGGCGGAAGGAGCCGUCCGGCAGCGCCGAAACCUCUUGACCCCGUCCGGCGGCUUCUGUCGGAUGGCACCAGCUGCGUCGCCGUCGCCGCCGGAUAG